UACGUAGGGACCAAGCGUUGUCCGGAAUCAUUGGCGUAAAGAGCGUGUAGGCGGCUUGUUAAGUCUUGCGGUGAAAUCUCGGGGCUCAACCCCGAGCGGUCGUGAGAAACUGGCAGGCUAGAGUGCGGGAGAGGAGAGUGGAAUUCCUGGUGUAGCGGUAGAAAUGCGCAGAUAUCAGGAAGAACACCCGUGGCGAAGGCGGCUCUCUGGAACGCAACUGACGCUGAGACGCGAAAGCGUGGGGAGCAAACAGG
rnacentral:rRNA from 1 species